AAGACAGGUGCCAACUGGGAUCUGAUGUCAAGCGGAGAGAAAAGAGUGAGCUGCACAGACCCCAGUCUAAAACAUGAUCACAAGGGCUUUCGGGAAGGAAAAAGAUCAGCAACGAUAUCAAACAGACAGUUUAGCACCUUUUGAAGCAAUGGCUUAAACAGCCUGAACACUCUGGAGUUCUGCCCAAAAGAAAUGAUUUUAAGACCAUUCCUUGGAGAAUUCUAACAAAAACCCAUGGAAAGAAUAGAAAAGAACUGACCAGAUCAUACCACAGAAGAAAGAGACCACAGGCAACAUCAUCACAGAGCAAAAGAGACAGAAUGACACUAUCAACUUUCACAGAACAGCCCUCACCCAUUUCCAACAGCUUAGAGAACAUUCGGCUCCACUCAACCCUCAAGCCUGGGUGAGUUCCUGCCGUAUUCUGAGCCCAGAUGGAGUGAGACACACAGAUACACAGAUGACUUUCCUGCUUAUGAUCCAGGUACAGCAGGCAGCAUGUACCAAGGUGAGAAGUCCCUGGUGCAUUCACUGAGCUGCACAGGCUUGCUGGCUGGAUUCCCAGAACCCCCUUGAAUUCUGGCUCCUCCCUCUGCUCAAGACUUGGACCACUGUACUUAAUAGCAUGUUCAGUCUAGGCUCUUCUGAUCCCCCAUCCAACUGCUCAGGCCCCGUGGAGGCCUGGGAUAAAGAUAUGCUUAAGA